CUUCCGCCUAUAUACCACCGUCGUCAGCUUACCCUGUGAAGGAAGAAUAGUAAGCAAAACUGGCACAGCCCAAAACGUCAGGUCGAGGUGUAGCGCAUGAGAGGGGAAGAAAUGGGCUACAUUCAUUAUACUAGUGAAUACGAACGAUGCCCUGAAACGGGCAUCUAAAGGAGGAUUUAGCAGUAAGCAGAGAAUAGAGUGCUCCGCUGAAACCGGCUCUAAAGCGCGCACACACCGCCCGUCACUCUCCCCGUCUAAUUCUUUUCCUUUACUAAAAACACCAACAAUCUCCAAGGGGAGGCAAGUCGUAACAUGGUAAGUGUACCGGAAGGUGCACUUGGUUAAA
rnacentral:rRNA from 1 species